AGACUCUAUACAGAGGCCCCUCAGCCAGAGUCAGAGUAAACGGCCAACUGUCCACACCCUUCCUCAUCUCCAAUGGCACACGCCAGGGCUGCCCUCUAUCUCCUCUAUUAUUUGUCCUAGCCAUGGAACCAUUCCUAACAGCAAUCCGAUCUAAUACAGACAUACACGGAUUUGGGUACCACGGAGGCGAGGUGAAGGUCUCUGCAUUUGCAGACGACGUUCUGUUCACACUCACGGACCCAAUAAAAACCCUACCUCACAUACAGUCGGAGAUCCAAACCUUCGGGUCACUAUCAAAUUUUAAGAUCAAUGCGGAUAAGUGCGAGAUCCUAGGAAUCUCUGUACCCGCAGCAUUGCAAAAUACCCUUCAACGAACCCACACAUUUCCCUGGACACGGUCAGGCCUGACUUAUUUGGGGGUACGACUCACUACUAAUACCACGGAACUAUACAACAUCAACUACCCUCCCCUCAUAGAGGUCGUUAAAAAUGAUUUGCACAGAUGGGAUCUACCCCAUAUCUCCCUAAUGGGCAGGAUCAAUGUCUUAAAGAUGAUGGUACUGCCAAAAAUCCUAUAUAUACUUCAGGCCUUGCCUAUUCCACUCCCAGGGUCAUUCUUUAAACGAAUGAAGACUAUCUUCGUUAAAUAUAUUUGGGGAAACAAACCGGCAAGACUUGCCUUGUCCACACUGACGUCCACCACGGACAGGGGGGGCCUGGGACUACCUCACAUAUAUAAAUAUUACGUAGCAGUCUUACUUACCAGACUAAAAGAGUGGAC